GAAAGAUGGCUUUGGCUAUCACUCUGGGAUGGACCUGCGGUGCACUAGCUAGUUGGUAAGGUAACGGCUUACCAAGGCGAUGAUGCAUAGCCGAGUUGAGAGACUGAUCGGCCACAAUGGAACUGAGACACGGUCCAUACUCCUACGGGAGGCAGCAGUAGGGAAUCUUCCACAAUGGGCGCAAGCCUGAUGGAGCAACACCGCGUGAGUGAAGAAGGGUUUCGGCUCGUAAAGCUCUGUUGUUGGAGAAGAACGUGCGUGAGAGUAACUGUUCACGCAGUGACGGUAUCCAACCAGAAAGUCACGUCUAACUACGUGCCAGCAGCCGCGGUAAUACGUAGGUGGCAAGCGUUAUCCGGAUUUAUUGGGCGUAAAGCGAGCGCAGGCGGUUGCUUAGGUCUGAUGUGAAAGCCUUCGGCUUAACCGAAGAAGUGCAUCGGAAACCGGGCGACUUGAGUGCAGAAGAGGACAGUGGAACUCCAUGUGUAGCGGUGGAAUGCGUAGAUAUAUGGAAGAACACCAGUGGCGAAGGCGGCUGUCUGGUCUGCAACUGACGCUGAGGCUCGAAAGCAUGGGUAGCGAACAGGAUUAGAUACCCUGGUAGUCCAUGCCGUAAACGAUGAGUGCUAGGUGUUGGAGGGUUUCCGCCCUUCA
rnacentral:rRNA from 1 species